UCUACUUCCAAUUUCAAAACGUCCUCAAGGUCCUCCUGCUUUCCUCCAACACAAUAUAUUUAUAGGAAACAAAAUAUCUGAAAAAUGAUGCUAUUACUGCUAAAAUUAACAUUCUAGAUUGAUUUUCUUUCUCGAGAAAUGUGGUGGAUUAAUUUCUCUUUCAGAGGAAGUUGUUCCUAUAAACUAGGCAUCCUCAUCCGGGGACAACGUUGUCCUCCAGGGAACAUGUGGAAAUGUCCAGUGACAUGUUUGGUUGUCACAGGUUAGAGCUGUUUCAAGAAACUAGAGGGUAGAAGCCAAAGACACUGUUCAACAUUAUCCAGUUCGUAGGACAGCUCUUCCCCAAAAACACAUGUACACGCACGCGUGAACACACACAGAAAGGAUUAUAUAGGCAAACAUGGCAGUAAAGCUGAGGUUAAGAAACUCUGCUAUAAAACUUGUGUAUUCUCACUUCUACUACGACACUUGUUACAUUGAAUUAGGGAUGGCACUUUUCUUGACAACCUUCAGAAAAGGUCAAAUGGAUGGAGAACUGGAUGGCUGGAAGGAUGAAUGGAUGCAUAGGUAAAAGAAAAUAUCAGAGAUGGUUCAGUACAUGUUUUUUUGCACAAGGGAUGAAGCUGUGGAUCAAGGUUAUGCACAAAGAUAUAUUUUAUCACCAAAUUCUAGAAGAAACAGCAGAAUUUCAUGAAAACUAAAAGCCAUCCCAUUUUCCUCAAACCCAG
rnacentral:lncRNA from 1 species